AACAGGUUACAUUACACUAAAUCAUUGUGUAUCCCUCCGUGGUCCAUUCGAAAGUAGUGCCUAUUUCUAAAGAGUUCCUUUUCUCUUCUUGAAUAUAAGCCAUUUAACAAUGUGAGACAUGUCUUUUGUGGUUAUUUGUAAUAUCCUGUAUGUGUCUGGAGUACUUUGAUGCCUUGGAUUGGAAGCUAACUUAAAAGAUGAACUUUUGAGGGUGUGUUUUCUAUUGUGUGGGGCUUUUGUCGAAAUUAGGAUUCCGAAACGCGUUUUUCUACGGUGGGUUCAUUCGACAGCGAUUUACUUUCUUAGAAGUUGCGAGACGGUAUGUUUUUGAUUGCAAUUAUUGGAAGAUGACAGAUCCAUCUUUAAAAUGAUACCAGGUUCGGAAAAAUUGAUACGACGGAAAGGCAAGAAAAAUGCUGUGAAAGUUGUCAGUUUUAUAAUGGGACCCUAUGGGAAUCGGAAUUAGUGUAAUAUAACCUUUAAAAAGCACAUUUACUGCAAUGUCAAGGUCACAUGGAUUCGUCUGCAAGCGAGACAAGUAGAAAAUGAAUUUUAAUGAAUGUUUUGAUGAUUUGGGUGCUAAAAUAGAUGAGAGAUGUAAAUAUUUUGGUCCAAAUGGAUGUUUUAGGUGGUUUUGGACUGUUCCGGAUGGGUGGGGGACCUGGUAUGGACAAGUAAGGGUAACAUUUCCAACAAAUCUUAAAUGUAAAUAUUAUUAUGUCCAUAGAUUGAAGUUUCAGGUGGAGAGCAAGAUGAAAAAUAUGCCAAAUUACAUGCAUGCAGCCCAUUUAUGCCAUUUUUCUCUUUGUUUGCAGGCCUGACCGUUUGUCCUUGAGCCGUAGUUGGUUAACAAUCCGCUAGCUGUCUUGCUCUGACUGGUGCACUGGACAUGAUUUCAAUUGUCAGCCAGACCAUGAUUGAGCUUAAGGAUUGUGCUGCGGAUGCAGCCUGUGCAGUUCCGGGAGAAAGUCACUGUCUUGGGCAAUGCGGUCUGGUAUCAGGUCUGGAUGAUCCUUGCCUGACUGCGGGUUUGUGUACACCUCAAUCCGACUCUGUGUCCUGAACAGAGGCCGCAGUGGUGCAGCGCUUGUGGACGAUCCAUCAACAUCCUGAAAGGUCAACACUACACCAAGCUGGGAAAAUUGAUCCUGAUAGUCAUCCCCAGGCCUGACCGUUUGUCCUUGAGCCGUAGUUGGUUAACAAUCCGCUAGCUGUCUUGCUCUGACUGGUGCACUGGACAUGAUUUCAAUUGUCAGCCAGACCAUGAUUGAGCUUAAGGAUUGUGCUGCGGAUGCAGCCUGUGCAGUUCCGGGAGAAAGUCACUGUCUUGGGCAAUGCGGUCUGGUAUCAGGUCUGGAUGAUCCUUGCCUGACUGCGGGUUUGUGUACACCUCAAUCCGACUCUGUGUCCUGAACAGAGGCCGCAGUGGUGCAGCGCUUGUGGACGAUCCAUCAACAUCCUGAAAGGUCAACACUACACCAAGCUGGGAAAAUUGAUCCUGAUAGUCAUCCCCAGGCCUGACCGUUUGUCCUUGAGCCGUAGUUGGUUAACAAUCCGCUAGCUGUCUUGCUCUGACUGGUGCACUGGACAUGAUUUCAAUUGUCAGCCAGACCAUGAUUGAGCUUAAGGAUUGUGCUGCGGAUGCAGCCUGUGCAGUUCCGGGAGAAAGUCACUGUCUUGGGCAAUGCGGUCUGGUAUCAGGUCUGGAUGAUCCUUGCCUGACUGCGGGUUUGUGUACACCUCAAUCCGACUCUGUGUCCUGAACAGAGGCCGCAGUGGUGCAGCGCUUGUGGACGAUCCAUCAACAUCCUGAAAGGUCAACACUACACCAAGCUGGGAAAAUUGAUCCUGAUAGUCAUCCCCAGGCCUGACCGUUUGUCCUUGAGCCGUAGUUGGUUAACAAUCCGCUAGCUGUCUUGCUCUGACUGGUGCACUGGACAUGAUUUCAAUUGUCAGCCAGACCAUGAUUGAGCUUAAGGAUUGUGCUGCGGAUGCAGCCUGUGCAGUUCCGGGAGAAAGUCACUGUCUUGGGCAAUGCGGUCUGGUAUCAGGUCUGGAUGAUCCUUGCCUGACUGCGGGUUUGUGUACACCUCAAUCCGACUCUGUGUCCUGAACAGAGGCCGCAGUGGUGCAGCGCUUGUGGACGAUCCAUCAACAUCCUGAAAGGUCAACACUACACCAAGCUGGGAAAAUUGAUCCUGAUAGUCAUCCCCAGGCCUGACCGUUUGUCCUUGAGCCGUAGUUGGUUAACAAUCCGCUAGCUGUCUUGCUCUGACUGGUGCACUGGACAUGAUUUCAAUUGUCAGCCAGACCAUGAUUGAGCUUAAGGAUUGUGCUGCGGAUGCAGCCUGUGCAGUUCCGGGAGAAAGUCACUGUCUUGGGCAAUGCGGUCUGGUAUCAGGUCUGGAUGAUCCUUGCCUGACUGCGGGUUUGUGUACACCUCAAUCCGACUCUGUGUCCUGAACAGAGGCCGCAGUGGUGCAGCGCUUGUGGACGAUCCAUCAACAUCCUGAAAGGUCAACACUACACCAAGCUGGGAAAAUUGAUCCUGAUAGUCAUCCCCAGGCCUGACCGUUUGUCCUUGAGCCGUAGUUGGUUAACAAUCCGCUAGCUGUCUUGCUCUGACUGGUGCACUGGACAUGAUUUCAAUUGUCAGCCAGACCAUGAUUGAGCUUAAGGAUUGUGCUGCGGAUGCAGCCUGUGCAGUUCCGGGAGAAAGUCACUGUCUUGGGCAAUGCGGUCUGGUAUCAGGUCUGGAUGAUCCUUGCCUGACUGCGGGUUUGUGUACACCUCAAUCCGACUCUGUGUCCUGAACAGAGGCCGCAGUGGUGCAGCGCUUGUGGACGAUCCAUCAACAUCCUGAAAGGUCAACACUACACCAAGCUGGGAAAAUUGAUCCUGAUAGUCAUCCCCAGGCCUGACCGUUUGUCCUUGAGCCGUAGUUGGUUAACAAUCCGCUAGCUGUCUUGCUCUGACUGGUGCACUGGACAUGAUUUCAAUUGUCAGCCAGACCAUGAUUGAGCUUAAGGAUUGUGCUGCGGAUGCAGCCUGUGCAGUUCCGGGAGAAAGUCACUGUCUUGGGCAAUGCGGUCUGGUAUCAGGUCUGGAUGAUCCUUGCCUGACUGCGGGUUUGUGUACACCUCAAUCCGACUCUGUGUCCUGAACAGAGGCCGCAGUGGUGCAGCGCUUGUGGACGAUCCAUCAACAUCCUGAAAGGUCAACACUACACCAAGCUGGGAAAAUUGAUCCUGAUAGUCAUCCCCAGGCCUGACCGUUUGUCCUUGAGCCGUAGUUGGUUAACAAUCCGCUAGCUGUCUUGCUCUGACUGGUGCACUGGACAUGAUUUCAAUUGUCAGCCAGACCAUGAUUGAGCUUAAGGAUUGUGCUGCGGAUGCAGCCUGUGCAGUUCCGGGAGAAAGUCACUGUCUUGGGCAAUGCGGUCUGGUAUCAGGUCUGGAUGAUCCUUGCCUGACUGCGGGUUUGUGUACACCUCAAUCCGACUCUGUGUCCUGAACAGAGGCCGCAGUGGUGCAGCGCUUGUGGACGAUCCAUCAACAUCCUGAAAGGUCAACACUACACCAAGCUGGGAAAAUUGAUCCUGAUAGUCAUCCCCAGGCCUGACCGUUUGUCCUUGAGCCGUAGUUGGUUAACAAUCCGCUAGCUGUCUUGCUCUGACUGGUGCACUGGACAUGAUUUCAAUUGUCAGCCAGACCAUGAUUGAGCUUAAGGAUUGUGCUGCGGAUGCAGCCUGUGCAGUUCCGGGAGAAAGUCACUGUCUUGGGCAAUGCGGUCUGGUAUCAGGUCUGGAUGAUCCUUGCCUGACUGCGGGUUUGUGUACACCUCAAUCCGACUCUGUGUCCUGAACAGAGGCCGCAGUGGUGCAGCGCUUGUGGACGAUCCAUCAACAUCCUGAAAGGUCAACACUACACCAAGCUGGGAAAAUUGAUCCUGAUAGUCAUCCCCAGGCCUGACCGUUUGUCCUUGAGCCGUAGUUGGUUAACAAUCCGCUAGCUGUCUUGCUCUGACUGGUGCACUGGACAUGAUUUCAAUUGUCAGCCAGACCAUGAUUGAGCUUAAGGAUUGUGCUGCGGAUGCAGCCUGUGCAGUUCCGGGAGAAAGUCACUGUCUUGGGCAAUGCGGUCUGGUAUCAGGUCUGGAUGAUCCUUGCCUGACUGCGGGUUUGUGUACACCUCAAUCCGACUCUGUGUCCUGAACAGAGGCCGCAGUGGUGCAGCGCUUGUGGACGAUCCAUCAACAUCCUGAAAGGUCAACACUACACCAAGCUGGGAAAAUUGAUCCUGAUAGUCAUCCCCAGGCCUGACCGUUUGUCCUUGAGCCGUAGUUGGUUAACAAUCCGCUAGCUGUCUUGCUCUGACUGGUGCACUGGACAUGAUUUCAAUUGUCAGCCAGACCAUGAUUGAGCUUAAGGAUUGUGCUGCGGAUGCAGCCUGUGCAGUUCCGGGAGAAAGUCACUGUCUUGGGCAAUGCGGUCUGGUAUCAGGUCUGGAUGAUCCUUGCCUGACUGCGGGUUUGUGUACACCUCAAUCCGACUCUGUGUCCUGAACAGAGGCCGCAGUGGUGCAGCGCUUGUGGACGAUCCAUCAACAUCCUGAAAGGUCAACACUACACCAAGCUGGGAAAAUUGAUCCUGAUAGUCAUCCCCAGGUAGUGGAAUGAAUGUACACUGAACUACAGAGGAAUCACACCCAAAUGACUUUCCUGCCACGACAUUAGUGUGGCCACUCGCGUAGGAAUUCCUUAGCAAACGUGCUCUUUUGCAUGGUGACUGUGGGCAUUUUUGCAAAACUUACGCUUUCAACACUGGAUUUUAAAGAGAAUACUUAAUAAAAUGUCGCUAACAGGACUUAUUUAUAUGAGAGAGACUAUCUGGAUGCGCAUUAAGUGUCACUUUGUGUCGUAAGCUGUUGAAGGAGCGAUUUGCGCCUUUUUAAGUGUUAAUUUUGGGUAGCCGGCUUGUAUCGGCUUGAAAGCUACAAAUUAUGCCUCUCAUCAUAAUAGCA